rnacentral:rRNA from 1 species
UGGGGAAUAUUGCACAAUGGGCGAAAGCCUGAUGCAGCAACGCCGCGUGCGGGAUGACGGCCUUCGGGUUGUAAACCGCUUUCGCUUGUGACGAAGCGUGAGUGACGGUAAUGGGUAAAGAAGCACCGGCUAACUACGUGCCAGCAGCCGCGGUAAUACGUAGGGUGCGAGCGUUGUCCGGAAUUACUGGGCGUAAAGAGCUCGUAGGCGGUUUGUCACGUCGUCUGUGAAAUCCCUCGGCUUAACCGGGGGCGUGCAGGCGAUACGGGCAGACUUGAGUACUACAGGGGAGACUGGAAUUCCUGGUGUAGCGGUGAAAUGCGCAGAUAUCAGGAGGAACACCGGUGGCGAAGGCGGGUCUCUGGGUAGUAACUGACGCUGAGGAGCGAAAGCAUGGGUAGCGAACAGGAUUAGAUACCCUGGUAGUCCAUGCCGUAAACGGUGGGCGCUAGGUGUGGGGUCCUUCCACGGACUCCGUGCCGUAGCUAACGCAUUAAGCGCCCCGCCUGGGGAGUACGGCCGCAAGGCUA